rnacentral:rRNA from 1 species
GAUGAACGCUGGCGGCGUGCUUAACACAUGCAAGUCGAACGGUGAACGAGGGAGCUUGCUCCCUCCGGAUCAGUGGCGAACGGGUGAGUAACACGUGAGCAAUCUGCCCUGGACUCUGGGAUAAGCGUUGGAAACGACGUCUAAUACCGGAUACGAGGCGUGGGGGCAUCCCCAACGCCUGGAAAGAACUUCGGUCCAGGAUGAGCUCGCGGCCUAUCAGCUAGUUGGUGAGGUAACGGCUCACCAAGGCGACGACGGGUAGCCGGCCUGAAGGGGUGACCGGCCACACUGGGACUGAGACACGGCCCAGACUCCUACGGGAGGCAGCAGUGGGGAAUAUUGCACAAUGGGCGCAAGCCUGAUGCAGCAACGCCGCGUGAGGGACGACGGCCUUCGGGUUGUAAACCUCUUUUAGCAGGGAAGAAGCGAAAGUGACGGUACCUGCAGAAGAAGCACCGGCUAACUACGUGCCAGCAGCCGCCGUAACAC